CCUGAGAAACCUAAAAGAUCGAAUGGGGAGAUUCAUCGUCAGCAUAUUCUGUAUAUAUGUGAGUUACGAUGCGGGUUACUCUUGAGUAUUGCUUGCACGUUCUUAUGUAUUUAGUAGCAGAAUUUUGUCGGCGUGCACUUCUCCCCUAGUAGAACGUUGCGACCCGUUGAGUGUUGAUCUAUGGCCCAAGUGGGAGUCUUUAUUGUCUUGAACUUUGAAGAACCUUGGUGUUUCCUGAUCAAUUGCUCGACGGUAUUCUACGGUAUUAAGCCGCGCUUUAUGCGUCCUAUCCGUCGCAAGUGAGGUUAAUUUCUGGUAUACGGACUUAGUGCUGUCGCUGGAUUUGACCAACUGUUGGUUGUACGGUAUUCUAGGACUGGCUGUUACCGGUCUGCAAUGCUCCUGCUUUGGGUACUUUCAGG
rnacentral:rRNA from 1 species